UUGACUGAGGAUUUGUAGCCAUCGCACCUUUGUAACUUUUGGUUUUUCUUUGGAACUUUUGGUAUGUUGUAUUAAAGGCACUUGGUAUGUUGGAACUUUUGGAACUCUUGCCAUGAUAUUUUUGCUUUGGAACUUUUGCUAUAUUGUAUUAAAGGCGCCUUUCAAGAUAUUUUGGUUUGUCUUUUUUUUUUUUUAAUUCGUAUCUUGCCAUCGUGCCUUGGUAAUGUUAAUUUGUUAUUUAUAGUAUACGUGGAUAUUUGUAACUUUAGUUUGUUAUUCCUGCUAGAUUACUGAACAAAGCUGAUUUGUUUUCUUUUAUGUAUUCAGUACCAUGUAUAUCCAGCCGGGGUACUUUUCCAAGAAGUUGGUAGGCUAUGAGAGGGUAAGGCAAAAAAAAAAUAGAACAAAACUUAUUAAAAAUGAAAGCUGCUGAAAUCAACUUGCCAAAUUCAUUGUUUGGUAACUUUGGUUUAAAUCAAAGUGGUAACGGUAAAGGUAAUGAUAAGGAAAAUGACAUUGGGUGUGCAGUCAAUGAUGAUCCAGAAUAUGAACCAUGUGAUGGUGAAGGAAGGGUGACUUCUGAUAGUGACAAUGAUGAUCCCUCGGGGUCUCAAGCAAAUCAGGUAAUGUGUACAAGUCCAAGAAAGAAGAAGGGUUGUUCUAGUGCACAGCUUUUGAAAAAAUCACAAAGAACUCAAGAAGAUGGUGGUAGUCCCCAGGGAGCGACCUAAGCUCAGCAGCUUCCCACAUCACCUACUGAACAAACUGACAUGUUUUGCAACCCACAUACGGUUGUCGACUGUGUGGCAACUCCUGCAAUCCCUUCAACAGUGUCACAAAAUCUCAAAUGCAGAAGAGGCCCUACCAAGCUGAAAACAAUUGCUAUAGAUGGACGUAGUCGAAUUGAAGUUAAGUUUGAUGAGAAUGAUCAACCAAUCGGUGAUGGAUCAAUCAAGUUGUCUUCUUUCUUAGGACCUCUAGUUCGAGAGAUUGUACCAUAUACACUUUCAGAUUGGCAAAAGCUUCCUACGGGAAUGGCAAAAAUCCUAUGGCAAUCCA